CCUACGGGGGGCAGCAGUAGGGAAUCUUCCACAAUGGGCGAAAGCCUGAUGGAGCAACGCCGCGUGGGUGAAGAAGGUCUUCGGAUCGUAAAACCCUGUUGUUAGAGACGAAAGUGCGUGAGAGUAACUGUUCACGUUUCGACGGUAUCUACCCAGAAAGCCACGGCUAACUACGUGCCAGCAGCCGCGGUAAUACGUAGGUGGCAAGCGUUAUCCGGAUUUAUUUGGCGUAAAGGGAACGCAGGCGGUCUUUUAAGUCUGAUGUGAAAGCCGUCGGCUUAACCGGAGUAGUGCAUUGGAAACUGGGAGACUUGAGUGCAGAAGAGGAGAGUGGAACUCCAUGUGUAGCGGUGAAAUGCGUAGAUAUAUGGAAGAACACCAGUGGCGAAAGCGGCUCUCUGGUCUGUAACUGACGCUGAGGUUCGAAAGCGUGGGUAGCAAACAGGAUUAGAUACCCCGGUAGUC
rnacentral:rRNA from 1 species